rnacentral:lncRNA from 1 species
GCUGGAAACCAUCAUUCUCAGCAAACUAUCACAAGGACAGAAAACCAAACACCACAUGUUCUCACCCAUGCUCUAACUUGAGCUUUAUACCUUUAUUACCCCACUGCAUAUGCCAUGUAUAGUGGCUAGCUGGUAUCCCACCCUCAUGUGAGAAGGGCUAAAUGAAGAGAUGCUGAGCCCCUUCAAACCCCACAGAGACUGUGAAACAGUGUUUUGGUGGUCUAUAGGAAAGGUUCAACUUGGCAAAUGUAGUGGUAAGUGAUGUCACUGAAUGCAUACCAUAUGUAUUGAGAGUCAGUGAAUGCUAUUCUCUCUGCUGCGCACAGGCAUGUGUAAGUGUUGGAAUGGAAAAAUCAUUUUUAUGAAAAUAUAGAGAAGUAAAACAAGAAUGUUCUGUCCUGAGCCUGAUCAGAUCACCAGUAGCUGCCAAGAGUGAACACUCCGUGUAAGG